GAUGAACGCUAGCGGCAGGCCUAACACAUGCAAGUCGAGGGGCAGCACAGAAACAGCAAUGUUUUGGUGGCGACCGGCGGACGGGUGCGUAACGCGUAUGCAACCUACCUUUAACAAGGGGAUAACGGAGAGAAAUUUCCACUAAUACCCCAUAACAUCGAUCAAGGCAUCUUGAUUGGUUGAAAACUCCGGUGGUUAAAGAUGGGCAUGCGUUGUAUUAGGUAGUUGGUGCGGUAAUGGCUCACCAAGCCUACGAUACAUAGGGGGACUGAGAGGUUAGCCCCCCACACUGGUACUGAGACACGGACCAGACUCCUACGGGAGGCAGCAGUGAGGAAUACUGGUCAAUGGGGGCAACCCUGAACCAGCCAUGCCGCGUGCAGGAAGACGGCUCUAUGAGUUGUAAACUGCUUUUAAACAGGGAUAAAGCACAGUAUGUAUACUGUGUUGAAGGUACUGUAAGAAUAAGGAUCGGCUAACUCCGUGCCAGCAGCCGCCGCAG
rnacentral:rRNA from 1 species